rnacentral:rRNA from 1 species
GGUGAACGCUGGCGGUGUGCCUAAUACAUGCAAGUCGAACGGCAGCACAAUAAGCUCUUGCUCUUGCGGUUAGCGAGUGGCGGACGGGUGAGGAAUAGAUCGGCAUCUUCUUUUUCGUGGAUGAUUACGUAGGACCGCAUCUACUACUACCUCAUACUACCUACGGCUGAAAUCAAGAGAGCUUCGCGCCUUGCGCGAUUGAAUUAGACGAUGUCGGAUUAGCUAGUUGGCUUGGUAAGGGCACACCAAGGCGACGAUGCGUAGCUGAUCUGAGAGGAUGAUCAGCCACACUGGAACUGAGACACGGUCCAGACUCCUACGGGAGGCAGCAGUAGGGAAUCUUCGGCAAUGGGCGCAAGCCUGACGGAGCAAUACCGCGUGAGUGAAGAAGGUCUUCGGAUCGUAAAACUCUGUUGUUGGGGAAGAACAGCAGCAUAAGAAACUGUGCACGUCUUGACGGUACCUAAAGAAAAAGCAACGGCUAACUACGUG